rnacentral:rRNA from 1 species
UACGUAGGGUGCAAGCGUUAUCCGGAAUUAUUGGGCGUAAAGAGCUCGUAGGCGGUUUGUCGCGUCUGCUGUGAAAACCCGAGGCUCAACCUCGGGCCUGCAGUGGGUACGGGCAGACUAGAGUGCGGUAGGGGAGAUUGGAAUUCCUGGUGUAGCGGUGGAAUGCGCAGAUACCAGGAGGAACACCGAUGGCGAAGGCAGAUCUCUGGGCCGUUACUGACGCUGAGGAGCGAAAGCAUGGGGAGCGAACAGG